UACGGAGGGUGCAAGCGUUAUCCGGAUUCACUGGGUUUAAAGGGUGCGUAGGUGGGGAGGUAAGUCAGCGGUGAAAUCCCCGAGCUUAACUUGGGAACUGCCAUUGAUACUAUCUCUCUUGAAUACCUUGGAGGUGAGCGGAAUAUGUCAUGUAGCGGUGAAAUGCUUAGAUAUGACAUAGAACACCAAUUGCGAAGGCAGCUCACUACACGUCAUUGACACUGAGACGCGAAAAGCGUGGGGAGCAAACAGG
rnacentral:rRNA from 1 species